rnacentral:rRNA from 1 species
AGAGUUUGAUCAUGGCUCAGGAUGAACGCUAGCUACAGGCUUAACACAUGCAAGUCGAGGGGCGAGCAUGUUGGUUGCUUGCAACCAACGAUGGCGACCGGCGCACGGGUGAGUAACGCGUAUCCAACCUACCCUUGUCCAUCGGAUAACCCGUCGAAAGGCGGCCUAACACGAUAUGCGGUUCACAGCAGGCAUCUAACGUGAACGAAAUGUAAAGGAGAAGGAUGGGGAUGCGUCUGAUUAGCUUGUUGGCGGGGUAACGCCACAAGGCUACGAUCAGUAGGGGUUCUGAGAGGAAGGUCCCCCANAUUGGAACUGAGACACGGUCCAAAACUCCGUACGGGAGCA